rnacentral:rRNA from 1 species
GACGAACGCUGGCGGCGUGCUUAACACAUGCAAGUCGAACGAUGAACCCGGAGCUUGCUCCGGUGGAUUAGUGGCGAACGGGUGAGUAACACGUGAGUAACCUGCCCUUGACUCUGGGAUAACUGCGGGAAACUGUAGCUAAUACCGGAUACGACCCUCGGCGGCAUCGCCAGGGGGUGGAAAGAACUUCGGUCAAGGAUGGACUCGCGGCCUAUCAGCUAGUUGGGGAGGUAACGGCUCACCAAGGCGAAGACGGGCAGCGGGACUGAGAGGGUGACGGGCCAGACUGGGACUGGGACACGGCCCAGACUUCUCCGGGAGGCAGCAGUGGGGAAUAUUGAACAAUGGGCGCAAGCCUGAUGCAGCAACGCCGCGUGAGGGAUGACGGCCUUCGGGUUGUAAACCUCUUUUAGUAGGGAAGAAGCGAAAGUGACGGUACCUGCAGAAAAAGCACCGGCUAACUACGUGCCAGCCGCCGCGGUAA